UACGUAGGGUGCAAGCGUUGUCCGGAAUUAUUGGGCGUAAAGGGCGCGUAGGCGGCCUGCUAAGUCGAACGUGAAAUCCCUGGGCUCAACCCAGGAACUGCGUCCGAUACUGGUUGGCUUGAAUCCGGGAGAGGGAUGCAGAAUUCCAGGUGUAGCGGUGAAAUGCGUAGAUAUCUGGAGGAAUACCGGUGGCGAAGGCGGCAUCCUGGACCGGCAUUGACGCUGAUGAGCGAAAGCUAGGGGAGCAA
rnacentral:rRNA from 1 species